CAUUGGCAUGGGCGAAGCCUGACCGCCUGCCGCGUGAGUGAUGAAGGCCCUAGGGUUGUAAAGCUCUUUUGUGCGGGAAGAUAAUGACGGUACCGCAAGAAUAAGCCCCGGCUAACUUCGUGCCAGCAGCCGCGGUAAUACGAAGGGGGCUAGCGUUGCUCGGAAUCACUGGGCGUAAAGGGUGCGUAGGCGGGUCUUUAAGUCAGAGGUGAAAUCCUGGAGCUCAACUCCAGAACUGCCUUUGAUACUGAGGAUCUUGAGUUCGGGAGAGGUGAGUGGAACUGCGAGUGUAGAGGUGAAAUUCGUAGAUAUUCGCAAGAACACGGGGGGGGAAGGCGGCUCACUGGCCCGAUACUGACGCUGAGGCACGAAAG
rnacentral:rRNA from 1 species